UUUACUCAGAUAUAUGUACAGAAGUAGGUAACUAGGUUCUUAAGAUAAGAACUAGGUUCUUAAGCUAUCUUAGGAACUUAAGAUAACUAGGUUCAAGGAUGUUCUUUGUAGGAUGUGCAUAAUAGCAAAAUACUGAACCUAAAAUGUUCAUCACUAGUUGGUUAUUAAUAAUUGCAUGUUCUUUUAUGCCACUUAAUGAAACAGACAUAUGGAAAAGAUGUUAACAUAUAUCUCUAAGUGUAAAAAAAGUCUGGAAGUUGCUUUCAGACGCAGGAUCUGGGUGUGCUCUUUGUGAAAUUCCACCAUGGCGUACCGUGGCCAGGGCCAGAAAGUGCAGAAGGUUAUGGUGCAGCCCAUCAACCUCAUCUUCAGAUACUUACGAAACAGAUCGCGGAUUCAGGUGUGGCCCUAUGAGCAAGUGAAUAUGCGGAUAGAAGGCUGUAUUAUUGGUGUUGACAAGUAUAUGAACCUUGUAUUAGGUGAUGCAGAAGAGAUUCAUUCUAAAACAAAGUCAAGAAAACAACUGGGUUGGAUGAUGCUAAAAGGAGAUAAUAUUACUCUGCUACAAAGUGUCUCUCCAACUAGAAAUGAUCAAUGAAGUGAGAAAUUGUUGAGAAGGAUACAGUUUGUUUUUAGAUGUCCUUUGCCAAUAUGAACAUUUAUUCAUAUUGUUCUGAUUACCCUUAUGUUAUUACA